UUAGGUUAAGUUAAUAAGGGCGCACAGUGAAUGCCUUGGUACUAGGAGCCGAUGAAGGACGGGACUAACACCGAUAUGCUUCGGGGAGCUGUAAGCAAGCUUUGAUCCGGAGAUUUCCGAAUGGGGGAACCCACUGCCCGUAAUGGGGUAGUA
rnacentral:rRNA from 1 species